GGGUGAUGGCUGGAGCUGGAGCAGCCAUUGUAGUUUUAGAAGACAGCCAGGUUGGGGCAACAUGACAGAAGAGGGACCUAUAUUGAUUCCCUACUGUGAAAAAUGAAGAUUUGGUUUACCUGCCCCAUCCAUAUCCUCCUAUUUUUGGGAGGCGAACAGGACAUGGCAGUGACGGGAGCCUCUGGAUCUGGGCCCGGUGGGGUCAGAGGGCAGCCAGCAACCUGGCCCCUUGAAGUUGGACAACGCAGGGUCACAGAGGAAGGUGGCACCCUGGCCUGGGCAGACGCGGGAGCCUGCUGACGUCCAGUCCCUGUGGCUUGGUUGUUGAAGUUCUGUGUCAUUUUCCAUGGCUCUGGUGGGGACCCCGCUCGGCUCCAGGGCCAGGGUGAUUUCCUUUGCUCCCACUUUCUCUUCUGGCUCCGAGGCUCCUCGCGGCUUCUCAGUGUCAUCUGAGGGCUUCACCCAGUGUAUGCCUUUCUCAGGGCUGCUGUGAUGAAGAACCCCAGGCUGGGUGGCUUCAAGCGACAGCAAUGCAUUGUCUCACAGCUCUGGAGCGAGGAGUCUGGGACCAAGGUGCCAGCUGGACCUGCAGCCUCUAAACCCGUGUAGGGGAGCCUCCUUGCGUCCUCUCUUUUCUG